AUGCCUGAGGGCGGUCAUCGGCUGCCUCAGCACCAUGGAGGUGAAGAGCAAGAAGCAGCAGACCACAGUGCUUUAGAUACAGACACGCUAGGAAAGAAGAAGGCAAUUCAGCAUCCAGCAGAUGAGAAGUUGCAAGAAAAGGCAUGGGGUGCAGUUGUCCCACUAGUAGGCAAAUUAAAGAAAUUUUACGAAUUUUCUCAGAGGUUAGAAGCAGCAUUAAGAGGUCUUCUGGGAGCCUUGACAAGUACCCCAUAUUCUCCCACCCAGCAUCUAGAGCGAGAGCAGGCUCUUGCUAAACAGUUUGCAGAAAUUCUUCAUUUCACACUCCGGUUUGAUGAACUCAAGAUGACAAAUCCUGCCAUACAGAAUGAUUUCAGCUAUUACAGAAGAACGUUGAGUAGAAUGAGGAUUAAUAAUGUACCA